rnacentral:tRNA from 1 species
GUUAAUGUAGCUUAUUACAAAGCAAAGCACUGAAAAUGCUUAGAUGAGUACUGUUACUCCAUAAACA